UGCUGAAAUCAAACGGAAGUACAAAGGUUGGGACUUCCGUCGCGCAAGGCGGAGGAAUUUAAACGGGACACAGGAAGAGAAAAUAUUGUUUCCCUAUUUUUUUUAGGUUAGCAUCUAGUGCAAACUAAUCCUACUUUGUUCAGAAAUAUCACUUCCAAGGACAAAAUUGGGUUAAUGUGAGAAUACCUUUUCGGCAUACUUUGCUAGCGCCAGCGUCUUGUUACUGAAGCUCAACAGAACCUACAGAAUCUACCUGUGAAUCCAGUCUAAAUUCCUGUCAAUCAUGAGGUCUUUGGCUGUAGCUGUAAUCCUAUGUGCACUGCUGCCACUGUUCCAUGCUGGCUGCUGGUUUGAACAAGCUAAACCAGGCAUGACGCAGUGUCUUUACGACAAGGAUGGGACGUGGCAUGAUACCGGGUCCCGCUGGAGGACCAGUGAUUGCAUGAACUGCUAUUGUCAAGCCAACGGGGACAUGCAAUGCUGUCAGGCGUAUUCUGAGCCCACAAGAUUUCCUGAUGAUUGUAUGAUGGUAAGGGAAG